rnacentral:rRNA from 1 species
AUUGGGAUUCCUUUAGUAGCGGCGAGCGAAACGGGAUCAGCCCAUCACGUAGGAUCGUAGGCUUAGUUGUCUACUGAUCGGUUCCGUGUAUAGGAGGGUCCAUCUUUCUUGCACAUAUAACCAUCAUAUUUAAGUCCAGCUUGAAUGCGGCUCAAUAUACCCAGAGAGGGUGCCAGGCCCGUUUAUGUAUGAUGCUUGUGUAAGUGGGCUACAAACUCCUAGGAGUCAUGUUGCUUGAUAGUGCAGCAUAAAGUGGGAGGUAAACUCCUUCUAAGGCUAAAUAUUACCAUGAGACCGAUAGCGAACAAGUACCGUGAGGGAAAGUUGAAAAGCACUCUGAAUAGAGAGUCAAAUAGUACGUGAAACUGUCUAGGGGCUCAAACCUAAAGAACCCAAAUAUCUAAACGGAGAGAUUCAAUACUGAACUUAACACUCAGUGUGCACUUCUCUCUUAGUAAGACGCCGUGAUCCAUUAGAAAUUGGUAGACGCCAGUCUAUAUGAGGUCAUCAAUGGGCUUGCAUGAAGUUUAUUGGAACGAAUGGCAUGAUCUUUCAACGGUCGUGUGUAUUGUCUGGUAAGCGUGCGAGUACUCGUAAUGACUGUCUGAUGGAUUUUAAAGAUUAUAUCAUUGAUGUUACGGCAUCACUUACUUCGGUGAGUUUACGAUAUAUAUCCGAUCAACGGCGGUUAAAUUUGGGAUACCUUUUGGACCCGUCUUGAAACACGGACCAAGGAGUCUAUCUAAUGUGCGAGUAAAUGAGUUGUAAACUUAUUUGCGUAAUAAACGUAACUGUUAUGGGAUUACGAGUCUCACUCGUGUGGCUCUUCCAUCCCGGAGUAUUUUCAUCCACAUAUACGCAAGUAUAUGGAAAAUAUAUCAUGAGCAUGUUGGAUACGACCCGAAAGAUGGUGAACUAUGCUUGAUCAGGUCGAAGUCAGG